rnacentral:rRNA from 1 species
AGCAGCCGCGGUAAUUCCAGCUCCAAUAGCGUAUAUUAAAGUUGUUGCAGUUAAAAAGCUCGUAGUUGAAUUUCGGGAUCAAGGGAUCGGUCAUGCCUUGGUAUGUACUGGUUUCAUUGGUUCUCACCUUCUAAAGAACCAUAAUGUCAUUCAUUUGAUGUUAUGGGGAAUUAGGACUGUUACCUUGAAAAAAUUAGAGUGUUUAAAGCAGGCUUUACGCUUGAAUACAUUAGCAUGGAAUAAUGAAAUAGGACAUCCGAUUCUAUUUUGUUGGUUUCUAGGAUCGAUGUAAUGAUUAAUAGGGAUAGUUGGGGGCAUUAGUAUUCAAUUGUCAGAGGUGAAAUUCUUGGAUUUAUUGAAGACUAACUACUGCGAAAGCAUUUGCCAAGGAUGUUUUCAUUAAUCAAGAACGAAAGUUAGGGGAUCGAAGACGAUCAGAUACCGUCGUAGUCUUAACCAUAAACUAUGCCGACUAGGGAUCGGAUGAUGUUUAUUUUUUAGUGACUCAUUCGGCACCUUACG